AACAACUGAGGUGGUAUUUAGACACCAUCCAUCUUUGGUGACUUUUCUAUUAAUAUAAAUCUCUAGAUGACAUGUUUUUAUACAUUUUCUUUUCUUAUUUGUUAUUGUUCUACGACUGAAUUGAGAAAAACUGUAACCUCUCGAACCUCAAAAUGUUAAUUUAAAACAUAUCAGCAUGAGCAGCUAAAUCUAAAUGGAAAAUGUGAUUACCUUAUAGUCUUAGCCUCUUAGGAGGUAGGUUAAGCAUCAAUCAGCUUUGUUUUUCUGUGAGAGAAAACCAUUAUUCCAUCACCUGCAAAAAAGGAGUCUCCUUGAUUUCUCUUCUAUUUUGAGAUGAAGUUCGAUUGACAAUUCUACAACACAAUGGAUGUCUUUAAUUUCCUAACCAUGAAAAACUAAUCGACGCAUAUGUUUAACCAAAAAAAAACAUUAAAAAAACAAUCGAUCAUCGUCUAAAAUAGAGACUAUGGAGACUCCUCUACAUGACUUCCGCUGCAACGGCAAGCAACAUGCCCUAGCGCUACGAAACCAAAGUAUAGUGUGGGCCUGAGGCCCACUAUUGACAUUUAAUUUCGUUUUAAAUAAUGGGUUUACUAUUGAAAACACUCAUACUCAAACUCAAACUGAACCAAACCAAACGUAUAAACCGAAGCUGAACUAAACCAAACGUUUGAACCGAAACUAAACCAUAAUCUAUUAAUAAAUCAUUUGGUUUGAUUUGUUUAUUUUAAAAUCCAAAAAGCUGCUUAACAUUUGGCCAUCUUCUCUUUAGGUCCUCUCUUAACGUUGUCUCUUUUUCUUAAUGAAUCGCUCUUGGUCAAAUAAUAUAUUGCGUCUUUCAAAAUUUUAAAAGCCAAAAUGUCAUUCGUCCUUCUUUUUUUUUUAUUAUUGACAACUGAAAAAACAUUACAUCUAGAGUUCGUAUGUACAUAUAUUCUGCCCUCCUCUCUAUCAUAAAUUAAGUAAAGCAUAUGUUUCAAGUUAUUUAUUUAUUUUUAGAUGUUUAAAUAUUCAAGUAGAAAAACAGACGAUGCACUUUCCUCAGAUCUAGCUACAAGAAACAGAGAAGAAUACUAACCUGUAAAUGUAGCCUCCGAUCCUCCUUGCUUUUCCAAUCUCUCAGGACCACCAAAAUUUGAUCAUUGGUGUAUCUAUAACUAUGCAAACCAUAUAACUGUACAUUAUUGUAUACAAGCAAAGUAGAAAAAUAAUUAAAAU
rnacentral:lncRNA from 1 species